GGUUGUGUAGUGUAGUGGUAAUCACUGUAAGUUUCCUGCGAAGCACGCCCGCAUCCCUCACGUACUGACUCCCCCCGAGCCGGAUUUUGAUUCCGGCAACCCCGGUUCGAACCCGGGCACGACCU